GGGUCAACUCAUACCUUAGACAGAACCUACAUUACCCCAUACUAAUAUGGGUAUGACUUCCUAUAUAAGAGUCAUAUGAUAUAUGUACGACUCAAGAAAAUGAGUUGCAGGAUGUACAGUAGUUCCCAGACAUGAUGUAUUACAUAUAUCCUCCUUUGAAACAUUCAUCCUUGAAUAUGGUUCAUCCAGGAUUGGAAUUUGGAAGAGAUUCAACACCCCCACACUUAAUUUACACUCAAGAUUUACCACUAUCAUAUGGAUUCAACUUCUCAGAACAUAAAAUACGAUAUAGGAGCACAUUAACCGACU
rnacentral:lncRNA from 1 species